UUUCCACGCUGCUUUGUCCCUGGUCUUUCUCUGUCCUUUGGUAUGACUUUCUGGUCUUGUUUGCAUGAAAGGCAGUCUUGCAGUUGAAUCUAAAAAUACUGGUAGACUUUGGGAUGUUCUUGCCUCCUGAAGAGCAGACUCAUCUUUGGCUGUCAGGACUUUCCAUUCUUCCCGAAGAGUGUUCCUUUUCCUAAGCCACAACAGGUCAUGCCUUCCCUCAGCCCUAUUUGUACAAAAUGGUGGUCUUUAUUUAACAUUUUGCCUAAUUUUUGGAGAAGCUGAUACAUGUGGUGAGCAGGCAGGGCAGCAUAUUCUACAGUAUGCUUCUUAAUUCCUGGUUCCAGACAUUUCACGGUCAAGAAGCACGGCUGCAGGUUGUGAGGACCCACUGUUUCUGUGGAGUGAUGCCCUUCGUUUCUUGGCGUCAUGGCAUUCAAGAUAUCAUGAAAGUCUAAUGCUGGAAGAAAACCACAUCUCCCAAUGACGUGCUGUAACGACUGCCAGUGGCAUUUGGUGGAAUGUAUUUGGCACCAUUGGAAGUGAUCUAUGUAAUUGUUUGGAUUUUCAUUCCUUGGCAGACUAGAGAGAUGUGUCUCUCCAGAGAGAAAUCACUCACGUGGCUCCAAAGAACUGUCUGGGUCCACCUGCUCCCAAGUGAGAAAGAGAGGGGAGAUCAAGCCUUACGGAUGUCAUGAAACCGGCAUUAGCCUGAAUAGGACCACGAAACUUCAGUGUUUGCUCUUAAGGCCUUCGACUGGUUGGAUGAGGUCAAUACAUAUGACGGCAGGCCUCUUUGGGAUUCUAUUCCCAAAUUAUUCUCUAAUUCUGCUGCUGUUAAGAACUAUCACAGGCAUGGUACCUAGAAAUAAAAGGAGAAAAAGCAUAGAUACUUGUCUUGGAUUUUUAAUCAUGCAAGCAAGUCAAGAGAAAGAAAAUGGAGCAUGAAGUCCCUGAACUCUUUGAAGUUUUUGAAUACAUGUUCAAGGGGAAAGGUGCUAAAUGAUACCUCAAUAGAUGAAUAAAUAAGUGAUGUAGAUGUAUCUCUCACACUGCAAGGAAAAUCUCCUUUAAUAUCUCUAUUUUUAUCCCUUCACCAAAGUGAUAAAUAUUAUCAAAGGUUUAGGCCCUAUUGUUGAAAAUACAUCUUGAAAGAAAGAUUGGAAGAGAAAAACACUUGGUUACUUUGACUCUCUAUGUUCUUUUCCCCUAUUUCUUCUCCUCAUUGUUAUCUUAAUAAGUUAGUAGCUGCAUUUGGAAAUUACAUUUGGUACUCUUCUAGAUAUCUCAAGGACGAUUAUUACAAAAUACAUGGUUUCUCAAAGCACAGAGAUUGGUGGAGAUAGGGAUAGCCUGGAAAGAAAAAGAAAAAUUGCUUCAGGUCAAUGAACUAAAUCAGCACAACAUGAAUCAGAAAAAGCUAUUCUUGUCAUUGACCAAAACUUACAACAUCUGUAUCAAUGAUAUUUGUAUUUUCCACAAGUCAAGAGAAACUCAAAUAACCACAUAGCAAUAAAUAGAUUAACAAAUGUGGAGAAUUGGUAUAUUAUUCAUCUUUAAAAAGUCUGAAUAUCUGCUAUGAAACAGAGGAAAUUUGAAGAAAAUAUGCCAAAAAAAUAAAUAUUGUAUGAUUCCACAAAUCUGAGGUUUCUGAUUAGUCAAAUGUACAGAAACAGAAACAAGAAUAUUGGCUAUAGAAGGCAGGGGCAACAAGGAAUGAAGAUUUAUUUCUUGGUGGGUAGAACCUCACUUCAGGGCUCUUAAAAGAUUCCGGAGAUAAUGUAUAGUGCAGUGGAAGCACAUUGUGGUGAAUGGAUUUGGAGCCAUUCAAGUGUACACUUAAAAUGCCUAGGAUGCUGUUGACUGUUGGACAAAGUAAUAUGCUAAUUUAAUUGAUUCUAAGAGACUCCAUUGCUUGAUGGUUCAACUUCCAGGAAAUAGCUAGAAAGAGCAUACUUAAAGUUGAGCAAAUCCCAUUUACUACCCGCUGCAGUGAGGCAGUAUACCAUCACAAUAACCCAGAACAAAGCUACAGAGUACACCUACAUGCUGUAUACGUUCCAUAAAAUGUUUGUGUUCAGCAGAGGAACUCCAAGGCCUUGCUGAUAGUACUGGCACAAUUCCUGAUGCCAAGGAAUAGUUUCCUCUUCUCCUUAAUAAGUAGCACACAGAGUAGUAUAAUUUAUCCAAGGUUCCUCCAUACUGACAGUGCUGAAUUUCACUGUUAAUGUUGACCUGUACUUCCUAUCAGUGACAUUUUCACUUACACUUUAUGGAAAGAAGAAGUUGAUGCAAUAAAUUUUUUAUUGUAGGUCAUGGAUGCUCUUGCACGGGUAUGACAGCAAAACCUUUUGUAUGUUCCUGACAUUCUCAAACAGUCUCACAGCUACAAGGAAGUGGAGAUAAUCCCUACUUCAGAGUAACUCAGUCAGUUUUCAUUUCCAGUCUCUUCUGGCACCCCUACUUCCAAAGCAGUCAUCUAUGUCUAGAGCUGCCUGGCAGACAUAGUCUGUGUUUUGGGACACUUACUCACACCUUAGAGAAAUACUGAGAGAAAACGAGUCUGAUGAUAGAUUUCAGUUUAGCCCUAGUCCCAGUACUACAUAUCAGCCCAUGGAAGAUGAUGUCAGAAAUUUGGAUGUGAUGUGGAAGAAAUAAGCAGCCAACUCUUCAGGAAACUCUGGGCAAUGUUGGCAAAGGCUGAAUUAGAGACUUGGACAUUUUGUCUUUGAUUUUUCAAGCUACUGCUCUUCCAUUACUUAUGAUCACAGCUUUUUUUUUAAAGUUUUAUUUUUGUUUUAGAUUUUUUUUUUUUGGAGACAACAUCUCAUGUAGUUCAGAACUCCUGAUCCUACUACUUUCGCCUCCCAAGCGCUGAUCCUAUAGCUAUGAUCCACCAUAUGGCUAAGACCAUAGCACUGACUAAUAAAGAUUUAUUUAAACAUUG